UAAAGAUUCAUCGCUGAUAGAUAGGCAUGCGUUCCAUUAGGCAGUUGGCGGGGUAACGGCCCACCAAACCGACGAUGGAUAGGGGUUCUGAGAGGAAGGUCCCCCACAUUGGUACUGAGACACGGACCAAACUCCUACGGGAGGCAGCAGUGAGGAAUAUUGGUCAAUGGGCGUAAGCCUGAACCAGCCAAGUCGCGUGAGGGACGAAGGUUCUAUGGAUCGUAAACCUCUUUUAUAAGGGAAUAAAGUGCGGGACGUGUCCCGUUUUGUAUGUACCUUAUGAAUAAGGAUCGGCUAACUCCGUGCCAGCAGCCGCGGUAAUACGGAGGAUCCGAGCGUUAUCCGGAUUUAUUGGGUUUAAAGGGUGCGUAGGCGGCCUUUUAAGUCAGCGGUGAAAGUCUGUGGCUCAACCAUAGAAUUGCCGUUGAAACUGGGAGGCUUGAGUAUGUUUGAGGCAGGCGGAAUGCGUGGUGUAGCGGUGAAAUGCUUAGAUAUCACGCAGAACCCCGAUUGCGAAGGCAGCCUGCCAAGCCAUGACUGACGCUGAUGCACGAAAGCGUGGGGAUCAAACAGGAUUAGAUACCCUGGUAGUCCACGCAGU
rnacentral:rRNA from 1 species